rnacentral:ncRNA from 1 species
UGGAAUAGGUGUCCCUAGGACUUAAUAGAGAAAGUAGUAAAAGCUACUACGGUCCCGCCGCUGUGAAAGUGAGCAACUUCAAAAAUAUGUCACUGAGAUUUUCUUGGGAAGGCUUGAAGAAGCGAUGAACUUGAGUCAGAAGAACUGCCUAUUUGU